rnacentral:piRNA from 1 species
GAUAAGAACAACGGAAAAUGCGGUAGC